AAAGAUUAAGCCAUGCAAGUGUCAGCACAUGCCGCCAAAUGGCUAAGCCGCGAACGGCUCAUUAAAUCAGCUAUGGUUCCUUAGAUCUUCGGCCGCGUCCUCGGACGUGGCGUUUGGAUAACUGUGGUAAUUCUAGAGCUAAUACAUGCCUGACGCCGUCGGGNCCCGCGAGGUCGCGACGUCUUUAUGCCGUCAAGACCAGCCGGCGCACGCGUCUUCGGACGUGGCGGCCGACCUCUUUGAUGAACUCUGGAUAACUCCACUUGACCGCACGGCCUUGCGCCGGCGGCUGAUCUAAUAAAUGUCUGCCUUAUCAACUGUCGACGGUAGGAGCCCGGCCUACCGUGGUGAUAACGGGUAGCGGGGAAUAAGGGUUCUAUACCGGAGAGGGAGCAUGAGAAACGGCUACCACAUCCAAGGAAGGCAGCAGGCACGCAAAUUACCCACUCCCGGCACGGGGAGGUAGUGACGAUCAAUAACGAUGCGGGACUCUGACGAGGCUCCGUAAUCGGAAUGGGCGUAAUUUAAAUCCUUCGACGAGGAUCAAGUGGAGGGCAAGUCUGGUGCCAGCAGCCGCGGUAAUUCCAGCUCCACUAGCGUAUAUUAAAGUUGCUGCAGUUAAAAAGCUCGUAGUCGGAUCUCGGGAUCGUGUCGGCGUCUUUGUUGCUUCUUCUGCGUUUCGGCGUCGGAGUUGUGGCAGGUCGUCGGCCCUGUCGGCGAGGUCCCACCUUUGGUGGGUNUCCACCUCGCUCGUGCAGCCCGCCGUCGCGUUUGGGCGGGUGUCCUUAAUUGGAUGCCCGCUCUCGAACGUGGCCCGUUUACCUUGAACAAAUCGGAGUGCUCAAAGCAGGCUCUUCAUCGCUCGAACGGUAGCGCAUGGAAUAAUGGAAGAGGACCGGCUUCCGCUUCUGUUGGUCUCACGGAGGCAGGUAAUGAUCAAGAGGUACGGAUGGGGGCAGAGGUAUGGCUCGGCGAGAGGUGAAAUUCUUGGACCCUAGCCAGACCCUCGAGAGCGAAAGCAUCUGCCAAAGAUGUUUCCAUUGAUCAAGAACGAAAGUCGCGGGAUCGAACGGGAUUAGAUACCCCGGUAGUCGCGACCGUAAACGAUGCCAACCGGGAAUUCGGCGGCGUUACUUCCAUGACCCGUCGAGCGCCCGACCCGGGAAACCGAGAGUCUUUGGGUUCCGGGGGGAGUAUGGUUGCAAAGCUGAAACUUAAAGGAAUUGACGGAAGGGCACCACCAGGAGUGGAGCCUGCGGCUUAAUUUGACUCAACACGGGGAACCUCACCCGGCCCGGACACCGCGAGGAUUGACAGACUGAGAGCUCUUUCUCGAUUCGGUGGGUGGUGGUGCAUGGCCGUUCUUAGUUGGUGGACGAUCUGUCUGGUUAAUUCCGAUAACGAACGAGACCCCAACCUGCUAACUAGCCCUCGGGUCCUGCUUCUGUUGGGCCCGACGGAAUGAUUCGCUUCUUAGAGGGACUCGCGGCGNCUAGCCGCACGAAGGGGGGNGAUAACAGGUCUGUGAUGCCCUUAGAUGUUCGGGGCUGCACGCGCGCUACACUGAAGGCAUCAGCGWGCGCUUUGUCCGUUCCCUGCCUGAAAAGGCUGGGUAACCCGCUGAACCGCCUUCGUGCCUGGGAUAGGGAUUUGCAAUUAUCUCCCUUGAACGAGGAAUUCCCAGUAGGCGCGAGUCAUCAGCKCGCGUCGAUUACGUCCCUGCCCUUUGUACACACCGCCCGUCGCUACUACCGAUCGAACGAUGUAGUGAGGUCCUCGGACUGGCAUGUACUCGGAAGCCGGGUUCGCUCGGUAGAAGAGCUUGUUUGCCGGGAAGAGAACCAAACUGAAUCGUUUAGAGGAAGUAAAAGUCGUAACAAGGUUUCCGUAGGUGAACCUGCGGAAGGAUCAUUA
rnacentral:rRNA from 2 species